AUCAAGUUAGUUUAUAAAAAAUUUCAGGAUGUGGGCCUGGAGAAGAAAAUAGUUUAUUUCACUUGAUA
rnacentral:tRNA from 1 species